CUCAAACGAAGGAGCCAAGGCACUCCGGUACCCGCCCCCACCGGGGAUCCGCCGCGCCCCACAGCCUGAAAGGGAUCCCCCCAACAGCGGGGCGUGGAGGGCGGCAAGCCCGCGUGGACCGACGCUCCAGGCCCGGAAGGGCGGUGCGGCUGGCACACACCGACGCGGCUCUCCCAGGCCCCGCAGUGCGGUCAGGCUCAGCGGAGGACCAAACGCGGAGGGGACCGUGGGGGGCGCGGCGCGGCGCGGCCUCUGUUGGUGCACGAGGGCCGGCAGCAUGCUCAGCAGAGUAGCGGGGAAGACGCAGGCGCCGCGCGGCCG
rnacentral:lncRNA from 1 species